rnacentral:rRNA from 1 species
AAGUGAUAAGUCUUUAAUUUGCAAUCCUUAGCUUACUGUGUAAGUUUAAGGCUAGAUUUAAACAAAAAUUAAAGAUUAAAUUAGUAUUGAAUGAAACUGUGUUUAUAUAUCGAUAAUGACGAUAUAUAUAUUAUGUCUUGACCAAUUACGUGCCAGCAGUCGCGGUAAUACGUAAGAGACUAGUGUUAUUUCAUCUUAAUUAGGUUUAAAGGGUACUCAAAGGGUCUUCUGCGCAUAAAAAGACUAGAGUUAUAUAGAAGAAGGUAGUACCUUAAGUGUAGAGAUUAUAUUUGGUCAUACUCGAGGGACUUAGAAAAGGCGUAGGCAACCUUCUAAGCAAUAACUGACGUUGAAGGACGAAGGGAUAGGUCACGAACAGGAUUAGAUACCCAAGUAGUCUUUUCAGUCAAUGAUGAAUGCCAUAGGUUAGAUAAAAAAUUUAGUCUAUAAAUGAAAAGUGUAAGCAUUUCACCUCAAGAGUAAUGUGCAACGCAGGAACUGAAAU